GUGGGGAAUAUUGGACAAUGGGGGCAACCCUGAUCCAGCCAUGCCGCGUGUGUGAAGAAGGCCUUUUGGUUGUAAAGCACUUUAAGCGAGGAGGAGGCUUACCUGGUUAAUACCUGGGAUAAGUGGACGUUACUCGCAGAAUAAGCACCGGCUAACUCUGUGCCAGCAGCCGCGGUAAUACAGAGGGUGCAAGCGUUAAUCGGAUUUACUGGGCGUAAAGCGCGCGUAGGUGGCUAAUUAAGUCAAAUGUGAAAUCCCCGAGCUUAACUUGGGAAUUGCAUUCGAUACUGGUUAGCUAGAGUAUGGGAGAGGAUGGUAGAAUUCCAGGUGUAGCGGUGAAAUGCGUAGAGAUCUGGAGGAAUACCGAUGGCGAAGGCAGCCAUCUGGCCUAAUACUGACACUGAGGUGCGAAAGCAUGGGGAGCAAACAGGAUUAGAAACCCUGGUAGUCC
rnacentral:rRNA from 1 species